CUGGUCGACUGGAUCCUGUAGUUGUAUCCUGGCUCAGAUUGAACGCUAGCGGCAUGCCUUACACAUGCAAGUCGAACGGCAGCGGGGGAGCUUGCUCCCGCCGGCGAGUGGCAAACGGGUGAGUAAUACAUCGGAACGUGCCCAGUAGUGGGGGAUAGCCCGGCGAAAGCCGGAUUAAUACCGCAUACGACCUACGGGUGAAAGCGGGGGACCGAAAGGCCUCGCGCUAUUGGAGCGGCCGAUGGCUGAUUAGCUAGUUGGUGGGGUAAAGGCCUACCAAGGCUACGAUCAGUCGCUGGUCUGAGAGGACGACCAGCCACACUGGGACUGAGACACGGUCCAGACUCCUACGGGAGGCAGCAGUGAGGAAUCUUCCACAAUGGGCGAAAGCCUGAUGGAGCAACGCCGCGUGCAGGAUGAAGGCCUUCGGGUCGUAAACUGCUUUUGUUAGCGAAGAAUUUGACGGUAACUAACGAAUAAGGGUCGGCUAACUACGUGCCAGCAGCCGCGGUCAUACGUAGGACCCAAGCGUUAUCCGGAGUGACUGGGCGUAAAGAGUUGCGUAGGUGGUUAUGUAAGCGAAUAGUGAAACCUGGUGGCUCAACCAUACAGACUAUUAUUCGAACUGCAUAACUCGAGAAUGGUAGAGGUAGCUGGAAUUUCUAGUGUAGGAGUGAAAUCCGUAGAUAUUAGGAGGAACACCAGAGGCGAAGGCGACUCUCUGGGCCAUCACUGACGCUGAGGCACGAAAGCGUGGGUAGCAAACAGGAUUAGAUACCCUGGGUAGUUCCACGCCCUAAACGAUGAGUGCUAGAAUUUCGGGAUCAUGUUCGGANUCGCAGCUNACNCGUUUAAGCACUCCGCCUNAAGGAUUACNGGUCGCAAGANUUAAAAACUUUAAGGAAUUGACNGGGGCCCNCCACAAGCCGGUGGAAGCAUGGUGGUUUAAAUUCAACNAUNCCCNAAAAACCNUUACCAACUUNUUGACAUUGGGGAAUUUUUGGANCUUUGGGAAANCAAGGUUUUUUCGGUUUCNGCCNGGNUCCCNACNAAGGNUNCUNCNUGGNUUUUCUUCNNCNUCUUUNNUNNAAAANUUUGGUUAAAUUCCCCNANCCANGCCAACCNUUUUUCCNNNUUUNUAANAGGNUUUNUUUAAANUUUUNGGGAAACUUCCNNGNUAAAAUGGAAGNAAA
rnacentral:rRNA from 1 species